CAGCAGCCACGGUAAUACGAAGGUCCCGAGCGUUGUUCGGAAUCACUGGGCGUAAAGGGAGCGUAGGCGGCGUGGUAAGUCAGAUGUGAAAUCCCGGGGCUCAACCCCGGAACUGCAUCCGAUACUGCCAUGCUAGAGGAUUGGAGAGGUAGCUGGAAUUCUUGGUGUAGCAGUGAAAUGCGUGGAGAUCAAGAGGAACACUCGUGGCGAAAGCGAGCUACUGGACAAUAACUGACGCUGAGGCUCGAAGGCCAGGGUAGCGAAAGGGAUUAGAUACCCCCGUAGUCCCUGUCUCUUAUAC
rnacentral:rRNA from 1 species